rnacentral:rRNA from 1 species
UAGUGAACAUGCUUUAUUUGACACACCCCAAUCCCAUUUCGAAUUUGGAUGGUUAAGAAGUAAAGGGAUGACAAUAGGUAGUUGGUAGCGGCUACUGAAGAUAAUUUUUUGCUAGGCU